GACGAACGCUGGCGGCGUGCUUAACACAUGCAAGUCGAACGGAAAGGCCCUGCUUUUGUGGGGUGCUCGAGUGGCGAACGGGUGAGUAACACGUGAGUAUCCUGCCCUUGACUUUGGGAUAACUUCAGGAAACUGGGGCUAAUACCGGAUAGGAGCUCCUGCUGCAUGGUGGGGGUUGGACAGUUUCGGCGGUUGGGGAUGGACUCGCGGGUUAUCAGCUUGUUGGUGGGGUAGUGGCUUACCAGGGCUUUGACGGGUAGCCGGCCUGGGAGGGUGACCGGCCACAGUGGGACUGAGAGACGGCCCAGACUCCUACGUGAGGCAGCAGGGGGGAAUAUUGCACAAUGGGCCGAAGCCUGAUGCAGCAACGCCGCGUGCGGGAUGACGGCCUUCGGGUGGUAAACCGCUUUCGCCUGAGACGAAGCGUGAGUGACGGUAAUGGGUAAAGAAGCACCGGCUAACUACGUG
rnacentral:rRNA from 1 species